rnacentral:lncRNA from 1 species
AUUCAAAGAAAUUUCUUUAUCCUUUUGAAAAGCCACAGUAAGACUGGGGAUGUAGCUUAGUGCUAGAGCACCUGCCUAGCAAGCUCAGUGCCCUGGGUUUGAUCUUUAGUACCACAGUGGGGAGGGAGGGGAAAAGAAAAAGGAAAGAAAAGCCAUAGCAAGACCUGAUGCACUGAAACUUCAAGUACGCCAUUGAACUUGAAACCGAAGAGUGAUAAAUUACGGCACAGGAAGGAUUUCCCCAUAUGACAAUAGGGUGCAUUAGAGCACAGCUGUGUUUGCCUCACCUCACUUCACUGCAGCUUUAAAAUAACACAAAAGGCAGCUAGUUCUUCGACCUGGCACUUCUGGCCUGGAAGAUUUCUUUCAUUUCCAUUACCAUUCUGGACUGUUGACCAUCAU